GCCGGAGUGGUGAAAUGGUAGACACAACAGACUCAAAAUCUGUCGCGAGCAAUCGUGUAUGAGUUCAAGUCUCAUCUCCGGUA
rnacentral:tRNA from 1 species